rnacentral:rRNA from 1 species
UAUUGUGAACCGCGAAUGGCUCAUUACAACAGCCAUAGUUUACUGGAUAUAUUCCAUUACAUGGAUAACUGUGGUAAUUCUACAGCUAAUACACGCAUCAAAGCCCUGACUUCGGAAAGGGUGCGUUAGUUACUUCAAACUGAUCGGUCUUCGGACUGCCAUCAAGUGAGAUUGAACUAUUUAGCUGAUCGCACGGUCUAAGCACCGGCGACAUAUCCUUCAAAUGUCUGCCUUAUCAACUUUCGAUGGUAGAUUAUGCGCCUACCAUGGUUGUAACGGGUAACGGAGAAUCAGGGUUUGAUUCCGGAGAGGGAGCCUGAGAAAUGGCUACCACAUCCAAGGAAGGCAGCAGGCACGCAAAUUACCCACUCCCGGCACGGGGAGGUAGUGACGAAAAAUAACAAGCUGGUCUCUUUGAGUUCCGGCAUUGUAAUGGGAACAACUUAAAUCAUUUAUCGAGGAUCUAUUGGAGGGCAAGUCUGGUGCCAGCAGCCGCGGUAAUUCCAGCUCCAAUAGCGUAUAUUAAAGUUGUUGCGGUUAAAAAGCUCGUAGUUGGAUCUACGAUCAAGGCUCGUGGUCGUUCUUCUCGAAUGUACUGCGAUGUCUGGUCGAUUUAUCUGGUGAACGAUUGAUGCUCUUCAUUGAGUGUCUCUAGUUGCUGGAACGUUUACCUUGAAAAAAUUGAAGUGCUCAAAGCAGGCUCUUGCCUGAACAUUGCUGCAUGGGAUAAUAGAAUAGGACUUCGGUUCUAUUUUGUUGGUUUCGGAACGCGGAGUAAUGAUUAAUAGGGACAGACGGGGGCAUUCGUAUUGCUGCGUUAGAGGUGAAAUUCUUGGAUCGUAGCAAGACGACCUACUGCGAAAGCAUUGCCAAGAAUG